rnacentral:rRNA from 1 species
CCUACGGGUGGCAGCAGUGGGGAAUAUUGCACAAUGGGCGCAAGCCUGAUGCAGCCAUGCCGCGUGUGUGAAGAAGGCCUUCUGGGUGUAAAGCACUUUCUGCGGGGAGGAAGGCGGUUAGACUAAUAACCUCAUCUAUGGACGAUAUCCGUAAAAGAAGCCCCGGUUAACUCCGGGCCAGCAGCCGCGGUAAUACGGAGGGUGCAAGCGUUGAUCGGAAUUGCUGGGCGUAAAGGGCACGCAGGCGGUCUGUCAAGUCAGAUGUGAAACCCCGGGGCUCAACCUGGGAACUGCAUUCGAAACUGGCAGGCUAGAGUCCAGUAGAGGGGGGCAGAAUUCCAGGUGUAGCGGUGAAAUGCGUAGAGAUCAGGAGGAAUACCGGUGGCGAAGGCGGCCCCCUGGACAAAGACUGACGCUGAGGUGCGAAAGCGUGGGGAGCAAACAGGAUUAGAUACCCGAGUAGUC